ACCUGGUCGAUCCUGCCAGUGGUCAUAUGCUUGUUUCAAGGACUAAGCCAUGCAAGCCUCAGAGUAAACUGAUUAAUGUGGGUCUGCGAAUGGCUCAUUAAACCAGCAGGGAUCUACCCCCAUAAGAUUGCUUCUGCAAUCCAUUCGGAUAACUUCGCUAACUGCGUAGCUAAUACGUGUACGAUCCAUCCAAGCUCAGAUCCAACACAUGGGUAACCAUUCCUGUGUGUGAGCGAGGAUACACAGAACCGAGACAAAAACCAACGCUCGCAAGAGCAGUUUAAUUGUUGAAUCAGGUUCUGCAAUGUGAUAGCGCCUAAUUCAGUUUAGGUGCUAGUGGGGACGACCUUCUGCCCUAUCAGCUUAUGAUGGUAUUCUAGUGGACUACCAUGGCGUUGACGGGUAACGGAGAAUCAGGGUUCGAUUCCGGAGAGGGAGCCUGAGAAAUGGCUACCACAGUUAAGACUGGCAGCAGGCGCGUAAAUUACCCAAUGCCAACACUUGGUGAGGUAGCGACGAAAAAUAGUAACGUAUCCAUCACUUCGUGGUGGUGCGAUUGCAAUGGAAUAUAGUUAAAUCUAUUCAAUGAGUAUCAAUUGGAGGGCAAGUCUGGUGCCAGCAGCCGCGGUAAUUCCAGCUCCAAAAGCGUAUACUAAUCCUGUUGCUGUUAAAAAGCUCGUAGUUGGAUUCAGAGUUGUGAGCCUUCAAGUGGCCGAUUGCAUCCUACUUGUGUGGAUUCGUUCCUCGUGUUGGAUGUUUUUCGGGAUCAACCCUUGGAACGCUCGCACUCGCCUUACUCGGAAUUGUGGGAUUGAGGUCCGCCUCAUACGCCCAAAAACAGGGCACCCCGUCCGAAAUGCUACUGUGAACAAAACAGCGUGUCCAAAGCAACUAUCUCUUCGUAUGGCUAAAUGAUAAAGCAUGGUAUAGCAAGGUAUCGACCUAUGGUCUGCCUUUUUGUUGGUUUUCCAAGACCGUCUGGGUAAUCCUAUAAGGUCUUGAGUCUCCUGCCUGUCUCUAAUACCUUGUCCCUUGGGGGUUGAGGCAGUAACAGGUCUCAUUCCUUCGGAAUUAAGAGGAAUAGUUCGGGGUAGUACGUACGGUGUUGAUAGUGGUGAAAUACUUAGACCAGCACCGGACGACCAAAAGCGAAGGCAUUCUGCCAGGAUGUUUUCAUUAAUCAAGAACGAGAGUGUGGGGAUCGAAGAUGAUCAGAUACCGUCGUAGUCCACUACCGUAAACGAUGCCAGCUCGAAAUUGGGGGAGGGUCGAUUUCUUAACUGACUGCCCGUCCCAGUAUCAUAUCCCUAUAUAACGAGAAAUCAUAAGCCUACGGGUUCAGGGGGGAGUACAUUCGCAAGGCUGAAACUUAAAGGAAUUGACGGAAUGACACCACCAGGCGUGGGUUAUGCGGCUUAAUUUGACUCAACACGGGGAAACUUACCAGGUCAGGACAUUUGAUGGAUUGACAGAUUGACAGCUCUUUCUUGAUUAUUUGGAUGGUGGUGCAUGGCCGUCUCUGGUUCGUGAUGUGAAUUGUCUGCUUAAUUGCGAUAACGAACGAGAUCACUAGCAUUAUCUAGCCGAGAGGAUUGUUGUACCGGAAAGGAAGCUUGCUUAAAGGAUGGGAAAUUCUCAAGGUAAUUAAUGCGACUGUUCACGACAUAAAGUGGACGGAGGAUGGUGCCAAUGGCAGGUCUGUGAUGCUCCUAGACGUUCUGGGCUGCACGCGCAACACACUUACACAGAAAACGAGUUGCAUGGCUUUUGUCUCCUGCUUUGAAAAGACUGGGAAAUCUUUGAAAAAUGUGUAGUAAUUAGGAUAGAUGAUUGCAAUUAUUUGCCUUGAAUGUGGAAUGCCUAGUAUAGGUGGUUCAUCAUACCACCUAGAUUAUGUCCCUGCCAUUUGUACACACCGCCCGUCGUUGCUACCGAUUGGAUGAUGCAUAGAGGUCUCAGGAGAGUUUGGGGUGACCUUAACUUGAACAUGACCAAUAUUCGUUAUUUAGAGGAAGCAAAAGUCGUAACAAGGUUGCUGUAGGUGAACCUGCAGCAGGAUCAUU
rnacentral:rRNA from 1 species